rnacentral:rRNA from 1 species
GAUAAACGCUGGCGGCGUGCCUAAUACAUGCAAGUCGAGCGAACGGACGAGAAGCUUGCUUCUCUGAUGUUAGCGGCGGACGGGUGAGUAACACGUGGACAACCUACCUAUAAGACUGGGAUAACUUCGGGAAACCGGAGCUAAUACCGGAUAAUAUUUUGAACCGCAUGGUUCAAAAGUGAAAGACGGUCUUGCUGUCACUUAUAGAUGGAUCCGCGCUGCAUUAGCUAGUUGGUAAGGUAACGGCUUACCAAGGCAACGAUGCAUAGCCGACCUGAGAGGGUGAUCGGCCACACUGGAACUGAGACACGGUCCAGACUCCUACGGGAGGCAGCAGUAGGGAAUCUUCCGCAAUGGGCGAAAGCCUGACGGAGCAACGCCGCGUGAGUGAUGAAGGUCUUCGGAUCGUAAAACUCUGUUAUUAGGGAAGAACAUAUGUGUAAGUAACUGUGCACAUCUUGACGGUACCUAAUCAGAAAGCCACGGCUAACUACGUGCCAGCAGCCGCGGUAAUACGUANGUGGGCAGCGUUAUCCGGAAUUUAUGGGCGUNAAGCGCGCGUAGCGGUUUUUUAGUCUGAUGUGAAAGCCCACGGCUCAUCCGUGGAGGGUCAUUGGAAACUGGAAAACUUGAGUGCAGAAGAGGAAAGUGGAAUUCCAUGUGUAGCGGUGAAAUGCGCAGAGAUAUGGAGGAACACCAGUGGCGAAGGCGACUUUCUGGUCUGUAACUGACGCUGAUGUGCGAAAGCGUGGGGAUCAAACAGGAUUAGAUACCCUGGUAGUCCACGCCGUAAACGAUGAGUGCUAAGUGUUAGGGGGUUUCCGCCCCUUAGUGCUGCAGCUAACGCAUUAAGCACUCCGCCUGGGGAGUACGACCGCAAGGUUGAAACUCAAAGGAAUUGACGGGGACCCGCACAAGCGGUGGAGCAUGUGGUUUAAUUCGAAGCAACGCGAAGAACCUUACCAAAUCUUGACAUCCUUUGACAACUCUAGAGAUAGAGCCUUCCCCUUCGGGGGACAAAGUGACAGGUGGUGCAUGGUUGUCGUCAGCUCGUGUCGUGAGAUGUUGGGUUAAGUCCCGCAACGAGCGCAACCCUUAAGCUUAGUUGCCAUCAUUAAGUUGGGCACUCUAAGUUGACUGCCGGUGACAAACCGGAGGAAGGUGGGGAUGACGUCAAAUCAUCAUGCCCCUUAUGAUUUGGGCUACACACGUGCUACAAUGGACAAUACAAAGGGCAGCGAAACCGCGAGGUCAAGCAAAUCCCAUAAAGUUGUUCUCAGUUCGGAUUGUAGUCUGCAACUCGACUACAUGAAGCUGGAAUCGCUAGUAAUCGUAGAUCAGCAUGCUACGGUGAAUACGUUCCCGGGUCU